rnacentral:tRNA from 1 species
UGGCUCAGACGGUAAAGCGUCUGUCUGCAAUGCAGGACACCCGGGUUCAAUCCCUGG